rnacentral:rRNA from 1 species
AGUGAACGCUGGCGGUAGGCCUAACACAUGCAAGUCGAACGGCAGCACAGUAAGAGCUUGCUCUUACGGGUGGCGAGUGGCGGACGGGUGAGGAAUACAUCGGAAUCUACUUUUUCGUGGGGGAUAACGUAGGGAAACUUACGCUAAUACCGCAUACGACCUUCGGGUGAAAGCAGGGGAUCUUCGGACCUUGCGCGAUUGAAUGAGCCGAUGUCGGAUUAGCUAGUUGGCGGGGUAAGGGCCCACCAAGGCGACGAUCCGUAGCUGGUCUGAGAGGAUGAUCAGCCACACUGGAACUGAGACACGGUCCAGACUCCUACGGGAGGCAGCAGUGGGGAAUAUUGGACAAAGGGCGCAAGCCUGAUCCAGCCAUACCGCGUGGGUGAAGAAGGCCUUCGGGUUGUAAAGCCCUUUUGUUGGGAAAGAAAAGCAGCAGGUUAAUACCCCGCUGUUCUGACGGUACCCAAAGAAUAAGCACCGGCUAACUUCGUG